rnacentral:lncRNA from 1 species
GUUCAAUCCCAGGUCGUUUUCCCUUUCAGCUGCAAUGCCGGGAUUUUAAAUAGCAGAGAUGAAAGGCCCCUGCCCCCGCCUCCCUCCUCCCCUGAGUUCAUGUAUUAUGAAUGAAACGGCAGCCUCGCUGCUUCCUGAGGUGCUCCACUUCAGGCUGGGGUGCAAUGGCUCGAUCUCGGCUCAGUGCAACCUCUGCUUCCCGGGUUCAAGUGAUUCUCCUGCGUCAGCCUCCCAAGCAGCUGUGAAUACAGGUUGGAGUGCAGUGGUGCUGUGUCUGGAGUUUGUUCCUGCCGUUGGGUUUGUGGUCUUGCUGACUUCAAGAAUGAAGCCACGGACCUUCACGUCCAUCGCCUUGGCUUAGUGCAUGUCACCAAAAAUUCUCCAGGAAUUUCAUAGUUUGGACCUUGGUGGCAUGGCUGGCCCUGGAUUAUCCAUGCAGGGAGGCCUGAUCCUGUGACAGCUGGCUGCAGCAGGGGGCUGCCCAUCUUCUGUGCUUUGUGGUACAUAUCUGUGUCACCAAAGUAGCGGCCUCGGUACAGCAAGCCUUUCAUCUGCUGCUUCUCCGUCCAGCAGUUGUUCCAGAGGUUGGCGAUAUAAUCAUCUUUCACAUUCGGUUUGACUGUUUGGAGGCUGGAGCCUGUGUACUCCUCGGAGAAAAUGCCUGCCACAUAGUAGAUGACACUCAGGUGGUCAGUGACUCGCCUGUGAUGUGGCCCACAAACAGUCUUGGGCUCAGACUGUAGGGUGGACUGGAGACCAUGAGCUGGCUGAGAGCUGACAUGAGGAUGAGGAUGGGUAUCAGCUGCACGAACACCCGCAAGCUGCCGUCACUCCGCUUCUCCCUGCAGCCCUGCCUUUGCUGAUACACACACAGGCACAUUGGAAACGCAGUAGAAAAUGGCUGCCAAUUUAAAACCAGAAGUUAAGAAGAGCAAACUCGAAUGUACAGCAAGAGAGCUUCAGGCUGGACUGGCUUCCAGCAGAAGUGGGACUGGAAACCUCGGAUUCUAUUGUCUCUUCUCUGUGAAGUGGGAAAACAUGUCAGUAUCUGAACUUGAGCUUGGUAAUUACUGCUCAUUUCUCAACCUUUUCCAAGCCACGUAACUCCCCUAAGGCUUAGUUUUCUUAUCUGUGAAUUGCGAGAUGGUAUGUUCUUCAUCACGAGGUUGCUAUAAAGACUGAAUGAGAUAAUGUGUGUGGAAGCACCAAGCAUGGUCCUUGGCAUGCAGUAGAUGCUCAAUAAAUAUGAACUGGAGUACACAUGCA